GUACACUCCUGCGGGAGGCAGCAGUGGGGAAUAUUGAACAAUGGGCGCAAGCCUGAUCCAGCCAUGCCGCGUGAGUGAUGAAGCCCCUAGGGUUGUAAAGCUCUUUCACCGGUGAAGAUAAUGACGGUAACCGGAGAAGAAGCCCCGGCUAACUUCGUGCCAGCAGCCGCGGUAAUACGAAGGGGGCUAGCGUUGUUCGGAUUUACUGGGCGUAAAGCGCACGUAGGCGGACUAUUAAGUCAGGGGUGAAAUCCCGGGGCUCAACCCCGGAACUGCCUUUGAUACUGGUAGUCUUGAGUUCGAGAGAGGUGAGUGGAAUUCCGAGUGUAGAGGUGAAAUUCGUAGAUAUUCGGAGGAACACCAGUGGCGAAGGCGGCUCACUGGCUCGAUACUGACGCUGAGGUGCGAAAGCGUGGGGAGCAAACAGGAUUAGAUACCCUAGUAGUCCCAUGA
rnacentral:rRNA from 1 species